rnacentral:lncRNA from 1 species
AAAGUCCACAGCACGACAUGUCACACUCUCUGGACUCAUUGUUUUGACUAUGAGCCGAACAUUUGCUUCACAUUCUAUCAACCUCUUGCUUUUCGCAGAACCAAACAAACACUAAUUCCCUAAUCUGGUUUUACAAACCACGAUCGUUAAUUUUUUUAACUAGUUUGCUUUCUGUUGCUUUAUGGGAGAUUCUUUCACAAACCAUGGAGGAAGCAAAUUCACGACAAAAGACCAGGAUAAUGAUGUCAAUUCCGGAAAUUGUGCCGAAACAUACAAAGGAGCCUGGUGGUAUGCAAAUUGCCAUGCCUCGAAUCUGAAUGGACUUUAUCUAUUCGGAAAACAUUCUACACAUGCAAAUGGAGUGAAUUGGUAUAAGUUUAAAGGUCAUUAUUACUCACUGAAAACCACAGCAAUGAUGAUAAGAAGAAUGAAAUAAAAUCAUAUUUUCGUUUUGUCUGCAUAAGAUUUUUAAUAAAAAAUAGUCCAACAUAUUCUUCUUUUAUGUAUUGUGUCUCGUUCUCUACAUGUAUU